UGAUGUCACCUUUCAUUUAUUGACUUUCCUUUUUCUCUCCUCCUCCUCCUCCUCUCCUCACUCUCCACUUCCCCAUCAAUCGCUUUCUCCUUCAUUUCACACUGUACAAGAAUAACAACGAGAAAAGAAAACCCUGAUUAGGGUUUCUGGAACCACGGAUUGUUGUUAAAUGUGUUGAAUCUGCUCGCAAUUUACCAACAGUGCGUGUUUUGACAGGUGAAAAAAUUUUGAUGUGCGUAAUACUAUGAAAAAGGGGGAAGCAAGAUGGUCGUGGCUAACAAGGCCUGGAGGUGUAGCGGGGGCGUGCUGGUGAACAAUCUGGCUGCCGAAAUUCUGCAGCAGCAGAAGCAGAAGCAGCAGCUGUCGCCGCAGCAGCUGCAUUGUUGGAAUUAUCAACCGUGGAGGCGGCGGCCGGUGGUGCCGUGGACGGCGGUGUGCGGGCUGCUGCUCUUUGCGGUUGGGCUCAUAUCUCUGUUUACGGGACACGUGGCAUCUGAUCUAGAAUGGUACUCACAGCGCCUCGUUAAGCGGACUUGGUACUAUAAGAGGGAUAGCAGUUAUCGUGCUCCUAUUGAUAUAUGGAAAUCAAGAUUUUCAAACUUGUAUUAUGGUUGCAGUGAUAGAGGCCCUCGUUUUGCGCCUGCUGUACGUGAACGAUUUUCAAAUGGCUACUUGCUUAUUGCGACUAGUGGGGGGCUGAACCAACAAAGAACAGGAAUAACUGAUGCUGUAGUUGUUGCAAGAAUCCUAAAUGCUACUUUGGUUGUGCCAGAGCUGGAUCACCAUUCAUACUGGAAGGAUGAAAGUGAUUUUGUCAACAUUUUUGAUGUUGAUUGGUUUAUCUCUUACCUUGCAAAGGAUGUACCAAUUGUUAAAAGGGUACCGGAAAAAGUGAUGAGGUCAAUGGACAAACCACCAUAUACCAUGCGUGUUCCGCGAAAAUCAGAGCCUGACUAUUAUCUGGAGCAAGUAUUGCCUAUUCUACUGAGGAGACGUGUUCUUCAGUUGACGAAGUUCGAUUACAGGCUUACUAGCGACCUUGAUGAAGACCUACAAAAGUUACGUUGCCGGGUUAAUUAUCAUGCUUUAAGAUUUACUAAACCUAUCAGGAACCUGGGUCAAAGGCUUGUCACACGCAUGCGGAAAAUGGCAAAGCGUUUUAUUGCUGUUCACUUGAGGUUUGAACCUGACAUGCUAGCAUUUUCUGGCUGUUACUAUGGUGGGGGUGAUAAAGAAAGACAGGAGCUGGGUGAGAUAAGAAAGCGGUGGGAAACUUUACCUGAAUUAAGCCCAGAUGAGGAGAGGACACGAGGGAAGUGCCCUUUGACCCCUCAUGAGGUGGGUUUGUUGCUGCGGGCCCUUGAUUUUGACAAUAACACAUAUCUCUAUGUUGCAUCUGGAGAAAUAUAUGGUGGAGAAGAAACUUUGAGGCCCCUCAAAGAGCUCUUUCCGAACUUCUAUACAAAGGAGAUGCUAGCUGGUGAAGAGUUGAAUUCCCUUCUUCCAUUUUCUUCUCGUUUGGCUGCCAUUGAUUACAUUGUCUGUGAUGAAAGUGAUGUCUUUGUGACCAAUAACAAUGGGAAUAUGGCAAAAAUCCUAGCUGGUCGAAGGAGAUAUAUGGGUCACAAGAGGACAAUCAGACCUAAUGCCAAAAGGCUUAGUGCUUUGUUCUCCGCUCGAGACAAAAUGGACUGGAAUACCUUUUCAAGAAAGGUCAAAUCAUGCCAAAGAGGAUUCAUGGGAGAACCUGAAGAGAUGAGACCCGGAAGAGGAGAGUUUCAUGAAUAUCCAUCUGCAUGCAUUUGCCAGAAACCAUCCAAAUUUUUGGCUAUCAACAAAAACAAAGGACAUAAAAACUUCGACAGGUUUCUGAAUGCUUCUGCAGAAGAGUCUAUGGAUGAGUACACUGGCAAUGAACAAAGCAGGAAAAGCUUGUUGAAACAGGACAAGCGAAGCAGCGGAAAUAAAACCAUUUCCAUCAUAGAGGAUAAUGAUCAUGAAGAUUUUUUAUCUGAUUAGAUGAAACCACCGACUAGGUAACUGCUCUAACUUGGUACAGAUGUACAAUGGCUACGUUAUAUGCCCUGCUGAUUUCCUGUUCCACUUGAUGUUAUGAGGUGCAAUGGGGUGAAAACAACUUUAUAUGGUGCACAAUUUCUGUUCCAAACAGGGUGGGAAUUCAUGUGAUUUUGAUUGUCUAUCUUGUUAGAGAGAGAAGGGGGAAGAUACGGGUGGUUGUUUUGAAGAAUGUAUAUUAUAUGUUCGUUUUGUAUUUAGAGAUUGGGAAAAGAUAAUUAAAGAUAGGUAUUUAUAUGUUUGAUUUUGUUUUAUUUUUUCUUUUUUCGUUGCAAGGAAUAAAAUUUAUGACUCGGUAAUAUUUUAUUUAUAUUUUUUUAAUUUUAAAUAAAAGUGUGUAUGAAUCA